rnacentral:lncRNA from 1 species
CCCCAAUCCAUUUCUGUAAAAUAUUGGUUGAGCCUGAAAAUUCUGGUCUUCAAAUCAUCGUUCUGCCCGUCUUCUAUGUCAUGAUCUAGUUCUUCUUAAUGGAUUGUGGGGGAGGGUUCUUGAAUUUGAUGGGCAACUUGAUUUGUUGGAAACAAUAAUCAAAAUGAACUUUCAUCCUCCUGUGUGCAUUUCUACACAUAAACAAAGAUAAAAUGUUAAAAGCCCAGAGGUAUACACACAUAUAUGAUUUGUGGGUUGGGGGCAAUACUAGUGAGAGUGAGGAAAAGGGAACUAGUGGCCAUUUAGCUGGAUUCCUUGAACAAUACUGGGUACACAAAUUUUAAAUUAUUUUACACUAAUUGGGGCUCUCAAAUCCUGAAAAUCUCAACAUUUGCUUCCUCUAGAACCAUCAUUCUCAAUUCAACCCAUUUCUCAAGAGCUUUACUGAAUUCAUCAGCCCCCAAUAAUUCUCCUUCUAAUUCCCAUAUCAAAUCUUUUUCAUUUGCAAUUGAAUUUUGGGUCUGACAAAAUACAUAGAAUAUUGCAACACUUUGAAUGGAUUUUUCUGGGUUGAAUCAUCGUCGAGGUUUUAGAGGUGGGGACGUGGUCAUGGCGGAACCUUGUUCAGCUUCCAAGUCUG